CUCUGUGACUCCUACGGGAGGCAGCAGUGGGGAAUAUUGCACAAUGGGCGCAAGCCUGAUGCAGCAACGCCGCGUGAGCGAUGAAGGCCUUCGGGUCGUAAAGCUCUGUCCUCAAGGAAGAAUAAAUGACGGUACUUGAGGAGGAAGCCCCGGCUAACUACGUGCCAGCAGCCGCGGUAAUACGUAGGGGGCAAGCGUUAUCCGGAAUCACUGGGCGUAAAGGGUGCGUAGGCGGUUUUUCAAGUCAGAAGUGAAAGGCUAUGGCUCAACCAUAGUAAGUCUUUUAGAAACUAGUUAAACUUGAGUGCAGGAGAGGAAAGUGGAAUUCCUAGUGUAGAGGUAGAAAUUCGUAGAUAUUAGGAGGAACACCAGUGGCGAAGGCGUACUUUCUGGACUGUAACUGACGCUGAGGCACGAAAGCGUGGGGAGCGAACAGGAUUAGAUACCCUGGUAG
rnacentral:rRNA from 1 species